rnacentral:rRNA from 1 species
UGCAGUCGAACGGUAGCAGGAAGUGCUUGCACUUCGCUGACGAGUGGCGGACGGGUGAGUAAUGCUUGGGAACUUGCCUUUAGGUGGGGGAUAACAGUUGGAAACGACUGCUAAUACCGCAUAAUGUCUACGGACCAAAGGGGGCUUCGGCUCCCGCCUUGAGAGAGGCCCAAGUGAGAUUAGCUAGUUGGUGGGGUAAAGGCCUACCAAGGCAACGAUCUCUAGCUGUUCUGAGAGGAAGAUCAGCCACACUGGGACUGAGACACGGCCCAGACUCCUACGGGAGGCAGCAGUGGGGAAUAUUGCACAAUGGGGGAAACCCUGAUGCAGCCAUGCCGCGUGUGUGAAGAAGGCCUUCGGGUUGUAAAGCACUUUCAGUUGUGAGGAAAGGUUGGUAGUUAAUACCUGCCAGCUGUGACGUUAACAACAGAAGAAGCACCGGCUAACUCCGUGCCAGCAGCCGCGGUAAUACGGAGGGUGCGAGCGUUAAUCGGAAUUACUGGGCGUAAAGCGCACGCAGGCGGCUUGUUAAGCUAGAGGUGAAAGCCCCGCGCUCAACGUGGGAACUGCCUUUAGAACUGGCAGGCUAGAGUCUUGGAGAGGGGAGUGGAAUUCCAGGUGUAGCGGUGAAAUGCGUAGAUAUCUGGAGGAACAUCAGUGGCGAAGGCGGCUCCCUGGCCAAAGACUGACGCUCAUGUGCGAAAGUGUGGGUAGCGAACAGGAUUAGAUACCCUGGUAGUCCACACCGUAAACGCUGUCUACUAGCUGUUUGUGUAUUUAAUACGUGAGUA